GGCCCCGAGAGUCUCGUGUCAGGCUGCAAACCUGAAGUCGGCCCUACGGCCCGGGGCUU
rnacentral:tRNA from 1 species